GAAAUCUAUCGGUUUACUCUGGUCCUGCUAAGUCCAAGAAGUCUGCGGUUCAACCCCGUAGAGAUUUCG
rnacentral:tRNA from 1 species